GACUGUCUCAAGGCCCCCAAAGUGUUUUCUUGCACUUCGCAAAUGGUACUCAUCCCUGCGGCCCGAGAUGGAAUUUCGCUGCUUUGUACGCAAUGGGAUCCUUGUGGGGGUCUCUCAGCGCGAGGUGACUGGAUUUUAUCCUGCUCUUGUUGAGAAGAAAGAUGAGCUGAUAACAAUAGUCCAGAGAUUUUUUAUGUAUAAGGUGAAGGGAAAUUUUGAAUCAGAAAGUUAUACUUUUGAUAUAUAUGUCACAAAUGAUGACCGAGUUAAGCUUUUGGAUUUUAAUCCUUGGGGCGCAUUUACCUUACCUUUGCUUUUCACCUGGGAGGAAUUAGAAGUUAAUUCGAAU
rnacentral:misc_RNA from 1 species